rnacentral:rRNA from 1 species
UACGGAGGGGGUUAGCGUUGUUCGGAAUUACUGGGCGUAAAGCGCGCGUAGGCGGAUAUUUAAGUUAGAGGUGAAAUCCCAUGGCUCAACCGUGGAACUGCCUUUAAUACUGGGUAUCUUGAGUUCGAGAGAGGUGAGUGGAAUUCCGAGUGUAGAGGUGAAAUUCGUAGAUAUUCGGAGGAACACCAGUGGCGAAGGCGGCUCACUGGCUCGAUACUGACGCUGAGGUGCGAAAGCGUGGGGAGCAAACAGG